rnacentral:rRNA from 1 species
CGCAGCCGCGGUAAUUCCAGCUCCAAUAGCGUAUAUUAAAGUUGUUGCAGUUAAAAAGCUACGUAGUUGAAUUUCGGGGUCAGUAGGUCGGUCGUGCCACUGGUAUGAACUGGUUUUACUGAUUCCUCCCUCUUGAAGAACUGUAAUGCCAUUAAUUUGGUGUUGCAGGGAAUCAGGACUGUUACUUUGAAAAAAUUAGAGUGUUUAAAAGCAGGCUUUAGCUUGAAUACAUUAGCAUGGAAUAAUGAAAUAGGACGUUUGAUCCUAUUUUGUUGGUUUCUAGGAUUGACGUAAUGAUUAAUAGGGAUAGUUGGGGGCAUUAGUAUUCAAUUGUCAGAGGUGAAAUUCUUGGAUUUAAUUGAAGACUAACUACUGCGAAAGCAUUU